CCCGCGGCAAGACGGAAAGACCCCGUGAACCUUUACUAUAGCUUGACACUGAACAUUGAGCCUUGAUGUGUAGGAUAGGUGGGAGGCUUUGAAGUGUGGACGCCAGUCUGCAUGGAGCCGACCUUGAAAUACCACCCUUUAAUGUUUGAUGUUCUAACGUUGACCCGUAAUCCGGGUUGCGGACAGUGUCUGGUGGGUAGUUUGACUGGGGCGGUCUCCUCCUAAAGAGUAACGGAGGAGCACGAAGGUUGGCUAAUCCUGGUCGGACAUCAGGAGGUUAGUGCAAUGGCAUAAGCCAGCUUGACUGCGAGCGUGACGGCGCGAGCAGGUGCGAAAGCAGGUCAUAGUGAUCCGGUGGUUCUGAAUGGAAGGGCCAUCGCUCAACGGAUAAAAGGUACUCCGGGGAUAACAGGCUGAUACCGCCCAAGAGUUCAUAUCGACGGCGGUGUUUGGCACCUCGAUGUCGGCUCAUCACAUCCUGGGGCUGAAGUAGGUCCCAAGGGUAUGGCUGUUCGCCAUUUAAAGUGGUACGCGAGCUGGGUUUAGAACGUCGUGAGACAGUUCGGUCCCUAUCUGCCGUGGGCGCUGGAGAACUGAGGGGGGCUGCUCCUAGUACGAGAGGACCGGAGUGGACGCAUCACUGGUGUUCGGGUUGUCAUGCCAAUGGCACUGCCCGGUAGCUAAAUGCGGAAGAGAUAAGUGCUGAAAGCAUCUAAGCACGAAACUUGCCCCGAGAUGAGUUCUCCCUGACUCCUUGAGAGUCCUGAAGGAACGUUGAAGACGACGACGUUGAUAGGCCGGGUGUGUAAGCGCAGCGAUGCGUUGAGCUAACCGGUACUAAUGAACCGUGAGG
rnacentral:rRNA from 1 species